GUCUGGGUGGCUCAGUCGGUUGAGCAUCUGACUUCGGCUCAGGUCAUGAUCUCACAGUUUGUGGGUUCGAGCCCUGCGUCGGGCU
rnacentral:tRNA from 1 species